rnacentral:rRNA from 1 species
UACGGGGGGGGCGAGCGUUGUUCGGAAUUACUGGGCGUAAAGGGUUUGUAGGUGGUCUGCUAAGUCAGACGUGAAAUCCCUCAGCUUAACUGGGGAACUGCGUCUGAUACUGGCGGACUUGAGGACAGGAGAGGAACGCGGAAUUCCAGGUGUAGCGGUGAAAUGCGUAGAUAUCUGGAGGAACACCGGUGGCGAAGGCGGCAUCCUGGACCGGCAUUGACGCUGAGGCGCGAAAGCCAGGGGAGCAAACGGG